CCAAGGCUCAUGCACCGGCUGUUCUGCUUGCAGGAGCGCAGCGAGAACCCGUCUCUGGUGCUCCCGAUGGCCGGCUUCUGCUGGGAUGGUGUUAGCAAAACCAGCAGCACCCAGAAAGAGAAGGGCAGAGGGACUGGGGGUCUGAGCCUUUUUUAGGAAUGGAGGCAGAACGCUUCACUGGGGUGGUGGCUGUGGUUAGGGGGAGCACAGGAAACUGUGGCAUCGGUGGAGAAAAACGAGCAACUCGGUGUGUGUGGAUUUUCCUUUUGGCCCAGCUAUCUUUGUUUGUUUCGUUUGGUUUUGUUUUUCCCUGCAGCUGUUUUGGUGAAGAAGCGAUGUUCUCUGCUCUUCCCCUCUAGCUUCUCACUGUGAGACCUACAGGUGCUGUCUGCAGAAACCAAAGAUCGUGAACGAUAGGGGAAAAGUCCUUAAACUGAUCACAGGUGAAACCAAGACCUUGAACUGUGAGGCCGAGCAGGCAGCCAGCAUUGCCUCAGCUGCUGCAUCAGGGGAGGAGAGUGCGAGCACCACCCUCGGCACCCUGCGGUACAAACGGUGCCGAAAAUCAGGCGGCAGAAGCUCGGUGUCACACCUCGCUGCCUGGGAAGCAGCCUCCGUGGAGAGACGGCAGUCUGGCCAAAGCGAUGUCUUCAUACUGAGGUCUUCUUGUUGGCAGCACUUAAAUCCUGACAAAGCAGUAUUUCUCCACAUAACUGAAGUAGUUCACAAAACAUAGGAAUCCACAACCUCGGCUGCAGGUCACUCGCCACUAACAAGCGCUUCAGCAGCGUGCAGAGCUCCGAGUGGCUGCGGAGCACGUUGUGAGACCAGGACCAGAGCAACAAAACAGGCUGGGAAAAUGUUUUCCUUAGUUUUACAGAGAAGAAACCACUGCAGCAUUAUGAAGGUAACUGCGUAGCUGCUCCUAAGUGGCCUUUUUGCUUCUGUUUUACAUCCUGCAAAAGUGACCUGCCGUGGUGCUGACUGUGUGCUGAUCACUUUACCCCAGAAAUACCAGGUCAGUCCCACUGAUGGUUUGUCCAGGCGGUGAAAAUGUGGUAGAGAGGAGUGGAGAGCAUGAUGGAUGCAUUUCUGGAGCACAGGCAUUUCUUCUUUUUGUGUGUCUGUGUGAAAGUGUGCUUGGGGUUUUACCGAAAUCCGAUCAUCCUGGGUUUUGAACACCUUAGUGCUGACAGACUGGUUCCGAAGGAGAACACCCUGCCCAAAGUGGCACUUCGCUAGCCAAGUGAUAUAAGUGAUACACCUUCUGUUAACCAAACCCAUACAUCCACGCAGAAAGACAGCCAGAAAACGCUGUGCCCUGCAAUAAGAGAAUUAUACGGCUUCCUUCGUUAGCAGGAGGCAGGUUGAGGUGCAGAGGGAGGGUUUACAUGUUUGCUGUUUAGUUGUUUUCCUUUCCCACUUCGCAUGACUUCUCAUUAGGCAGCUGGAAACGAGCUCCCGUUAACCUUUGAUUAUUACGAAUCCAAAGAAGCUCUCAUAACUGUCUCAAAACGAAUAAAAAUCACGGGGGCAAAGCUACAGAUUUCUACUGUCUUGAAGGCAAUGAGUGUGCACGAACCGCGAGCAGCCAACGGUAUUUUGGUUCAUUUUAAAACAGGCCCGUGUGAGGAGCACAGCAACUGCACAAAUACUGAACCCCACACAGCAUGUCCCACCACCUGUCUCUGUGAUUUCUUUAGCCUGUUGACUCAUAUUUUUCUUUUCUGGAAGCGAGGGAAAAUGUCUGCCACGCUGAAAAUGCUCCUGGUUUGGGUUCGGUCUCAGCUCAUCCGAAAUGACUGGGUGGCGAUAAUGUUUCUGACUUCGUUAUUUUUUGCUUUUGUGUGUCAGGUGGUGGACGGAUGGCCCCCUGCCAUGUGAGGUGCAAGGGAGAGCUGUGGUGUAGGUAGGCUCCUCCACACGCCCGUCAUCUGCUGGUGGGGAUUGUCCUGGCCGUGUUACUGCUUGGGAAAAAAAACCCUACAACUUACAAACAAGUAAGGCCGGGUUUUUAGGGAGAUUGCAUCUUCUGUGGCAUGACUGGAAAGCACAGCCGUGAUCUGGGGCGUACAAAGCCCUGUCUCAGGCCGUGAAUAAGCAGCCGCUUUGCUUUGCGUGCUUUCAACUUCUGCUCAUUUAGUGUCAUUAAAGCAAGAGCAAGAAAGGGAAUCUGCAUCCUCCCCCAAAUUUGGAAAUUCCCAGUGCAAACAUGUCGCCAGCUUGUGGUGCCUUCACUGAAGCGAUGACUCUGGGAGGGCUGUGUGUGUGUGUGUGUGUGUGUGUGUGUGUGUGUGUGUGUAAAAAUACUUUAACUUUCAUAAAUAUUUCCUGAAAACCUGCCUCCGAACCGCUUUUCAUUUUGCCAAUUUUCCCUUCCAUCAGUGAAUUCCAAGUUCAAAUUCUCUCAGCGUUUGGAGAGGAACAAAGCAUUUUGCCCCUGGUAGCUUUUGCCGAAGACUUUCCGUGCUGUGAACAGGCAGGAAAAUCAGUUCCUGGCACUGCGCUAAUUAGAGCCCAUCUGAGGAGGAGAGAAGUGAAUCCCAACAAUGCAGCUCAACGGUAGUGCUAAAAUCUUGCAAUUAAACUGUGCUGCGGGAUUAUGCAUAUUAGCACAUGAAUUACUCUUUAAAUGAUAAACAUCAGACCAAAUAAUUAUCUAAAGCUUCUGGGAAGGGACAAUCAGUGAGGCUGGGCUGGCAAAACGUGACGGUUUUCUUCUGCAAAGCCCAAAUAAGUCUACAGCUUGCUGAAAACACACCAAAUUGUUCAAUGGGACUGAACAGCUGGGUUAAGCAACAUCGCUUCUCUUUGCCGUACAGGUGGCACGCCACGCGCUCUUCCCUUGAAAGCCGGGCAAAAAUGAGGUUAAUCAAGACCUCAAGGAGCACCUACCUGCCUCCAAAGGCUGGCUGCAGAAAGCCUGGUGGUGCUGGUUCACCUCCCUGCCCCUCCUGCCGAGGGGCUGCUUGCAGGGUGGUGGGAUUGCAGCUGCCCAGGGCCUUGCUCACGGUUUGAUGCCGGCACAGGUUGGGGGAGAGCUGCCAGGAGCCGGCCGCACGCUGCCGGUUAAUUGGCGAUUAAUUGAGGAAUUGCCCUCGUGCUGUAAAAUGCACUCUGGGCAAACGAAACCGCGGCUGCCACAUGCACCUGGUGGAAGUGCCCGAGCAGCCACUGCUAGCGGGGAAAUUCAUCUUUUCCAAGCCGCACAGCGGGCACUCAGCUGUUUUCUGGGGGAGCAGCUUCCCUGUUGGGCAGCCCUCAGCGAGCGCUGUUCUGUGC